GUCUAAGUAUUUCCGCGAGCGUAUAUCCGUAUCGACGUGUCUCGAUUACCACAACCACUAAAUAGCCUCGAAAGUGUCGCUCGCGCUUGGUCUGGUUUGCAUACGUGCCGCGAUAAAGAGGCCCCGCUGCGGUUUCCCGAUAGAACGAUUUGUGGUCGCGCGAAACACGAGAAUUAUGAAUGAGAAUAAAACAGUAUGGGUAAAGGAGCUUGGAGGGUGUCGAGUAAUAGGGGCCUUCGUUUGUCAGUCCAACGCCGGCAAACUAACUGCCAGUCGAACCACUUAGCAAAAUUUCACAACGAUAGGUUGAGAUUAAUCGCGCCAUUCUUCGUUCGGCGACAAGGGGUGGUGGAGCGGUAUCGAGGCCAAGAUUUUGACGCACGACCACAUUCUCGAACGAUCUCGAGCGAUACGUGCCUGAAAACGAGCAACAACAGAGCCGCAAGCUGCCGUAAAUGGCAUCGUUUUCUACUUCGGAGGACAACCUGAGAGGAGGCGAAGCAUCGAAGAGAACCGAAAGUCGAUAACGGGAACAUUGAGGAGAGUAUCAACGAAGUAAUGGCUCCAUCGCUCCAUCCUAUUAACGAAAAUUUCGAGUGGCCCAAAACUUUCAUUAAAUUAUUAGCCCAAACAGCGUCACGUUGGAAGAAGUCUUCUGGAAAUUUCCUAU